rnacentral:rRNA from 1 species
UCUUGGUCAUUUAGAGGAAGUAAAAGUCGUAACAAGGUUUCCGUAGGUGAACCUGCGGAAGGAUCAUGUAUUGAAUUAGCGAGGGCUGUCUGCUGGCCCCUUCGGGGGCAUGUGCACGCCCGAGCCGUUUAAAUCAACACCUGUGAACUCACCGUAGGCCUUCGGGCUAUAUGUAUCAUAAUAUACUCAGAUCAUAGAAUGUAUGUUUUGCCUUUAAAAAAAAAGCAAUCAAAUACAACUUUCAACAACGGAUCUCUUGGCUCUCGCAUCGAUGAAGAACGCAGCGAAAUGCGAUAAGUAAUGUGAAUUGCAGAUUUUCAGUGAAUCAUCGAAUCUUUGAACGCACCUUGCGCUCCUUGGUAUUCCGAGGAGCAUGCCUGUUUGAGUGUCAUUAAAUCCUCAACCCCGUCGGUCGGUCGGGGCUUGGACUUUGGAGUGUGCUGGCGAAGGUCGGCUCCUCUUUAAAUGCAUCAGCGGAGAAAAACCUUUUUCCCCCUUCAGCGUGAUAACUGCGUUGCGCUGUGGUCGUGAAAGGGUCCGCUCAUAAUUGUCCUCUGGGACAAACACCAAAUCUGUUUUGACCUCAGAUCAGGUAGGACUA